rnacentral:RNase_MRP_RNA from 1 species
CACAGUCAUGCCGUGAGCACCCGAUGCAGGGUGCCAACCGAACGGGGCUCAUUCUC